rnacentral:rRNA from 1 species
UACAGAGGGGGCAAGCGUUAUUCGGAAUUACUGGGCGUAAAGCGCGUGUAGGCGGCCCUGCAAGUCGGAUGUGAAAUCCCACGGCUCAACCGUGGAAGUGCAUUCGAAACUGCAGGGCUAGAGUCCUGGAGAGGAAGGUGGAAUGCUUGGUGUAGAGGUGAAAUUCGUAGAUAUCAAGCGGAACACCGGUGGCGAAGGCGGCCUUCCGGACAGUGACUGACGCUGAGACGCGAAAGCGUAGGGAGCAAACAGG